GACGAACGCUGGCGGCGUGCUUAACACAUGCAAGUCGAACGGAAAGGCCCUGCUUUUGUGGGGUGCUCGAGUGGCGAACGGGUGAGUAACACGUGAGUAACCUGCCCUUGACUUUGGGAUAACUUCAGGAAACUGGGGCUAAUACCGGAUAGGAGCUCCUGCUGCAUGGUGGGGGUUGGAAAGUUUCGGCGGUUGGGGAUGGACUCGCGGCUUAUCAGCUUGUUGGUGGGGUAGUGGCUUACCAAGGCUUUGACGGGUAGACGGCCUGAGAGGGUGACCGGCCACAUUGGGACUGAGAUACGGCCCAGACUCCUACGGGAGGCAGCAGUGGGGAAGAUUGCACAAUGGGCGGAAGCCUGAUGCAGCAACGCCGCGUGCGGGAUGACGGCCUUCGGGUUGUAAACCGCUUUCGCCUGUGACGAAGCGUGAGUGACGGUAAUGGGUAAAGAAGCACCGGCUAACUACGUG
rnacentral:rRNA from 1 species